CGAAUCGCUAAAAGCCGUCCCAGUUCGGAUCGCAGGCUGCAACUCGCCUGCGUCAAGUUGGAAUUGCUAGUAAUCGCGGAUCAGCAUGCCGCGGUGAAUACGUUCCCGGGCCUUGUACACACCGCCCGUCACACCAUGGGAGCCGGUAAUACCCGAAGUCAGUAGUCCAACCUCGUGAGGACGCUGCCGAAGGUAGGAUUGGCGACUGGGGUGAAGUCGUAACAAGGUAUC
rnacentral:rRNA from 1 species